GACGAACCGUACGAACGUUAUUCGGAAUCACUGGGCUUAAAGGGUGCGUAGGCUGCGCAGAAAGUUGGGUGUGAAAUCCCUCGGCUUAACCGAGGAACUGCGCCCAAAACUACUGUGCUCGAGGGAGACAGAGGUGAGCGGAACUUAGGGUGGAGCGGUGAAAUGCGUUGAUAUCCUAAGGAACACCGGUGGCGAAAGCGGCUCACUGGGUCUCUUCUGACGCUGAGGCACGAAAGCUAGGGUAGCGAACGGG
rnacentral:rRNA from 1 species